rnacentral:rRNA from 1 species
UACGUAGGGUGCGAGCGUUGUCCGGAAUUAUUGGGCGUAAAGAGCUCGUAGGCGGCCUGUCGCGUCGGAUGUGAAAGCCCGGGGCUUAACCCCGGGUCUGCAUUCGAUACGGGCAGGCUAGAGUGUGGUAGGGGAGACUGGAAUUCCUGGUGUAGCGGUGGAAUGCGCAGAUAUCAGGAGGAACACCGGUGGCGAAGGCGGGUCUCUGGGCAGUAACUGACGCUGAGGAGCGAAAGCGUGGGGAGCGAACAGG